UACCAGCACCCCGAGUGGUCGGGACGAUUAUUGGGCCUAAAGCAUCCGUAGCCGGUUCUACAAGUCUUCCGUUAAAUCCACCUGCUUAACAGAUGGGCUGCGGAGGAUACUAUAGAGCUAGGAGGCGGGAGAGGCAAGCGGUACUCGAUGGGUAGGGGUAAAAUCCGUUGAUCCAUUGAAGACCACCAGUGGCGAAGGCGGCUCGCCAGAACGCGCUCGACGGUGAGGGAUGAAAGCUGGGGGAGCAAACCGGG
rnacentral:rRNA from 1 species